rnacentral:tRNA from 1 species
ACAUCGGUAGCCCAGUGGUUAGUGCGGUCUGCCCGAAAUAGAAAGACGCGGGUUCAAUUCUUGUCCGAUGUC